rnacentral:pre_miRNA from 1 species
AACCAGCUCAGACAGUUGUAGCACAGGCAUCUCUGGAUGAAUAUCUCUUUGAGCGCCUCACAGUCAAGCAUGACUAGGAGG